CACUCCUACAUCAACAUAUGAGGAUGAGGCAGUAGAAGAGUUUUAUGAGCUAUUAUAGGAAGUGGUCAAUAAAGUCCUGAAAAAGGACAUCCUUGUUGUACAAGGAGACCGGAAUGCCAAAGUAGGAAGUGACUCCUACCAAACCUGGAAAGGCACUUGUGGAAGAUACAGUAACCUCUCAACGAAUGAACGAGGUCAACGACUUUUAGAAUUUGCGAAAUACAACAAUCUCUUACAGGCUAACAAACUAGGAUGCCACAAAAAAUCAUGUAUAACCACAUGGCACAGUCCGAACGGAGAAUACCACAACCAGAUCUACUAUAUCAGCGGUUCUCAACCUUUUAUGCUCGGCGACCCCUUUUUACAAUCCCCCACUCUUCUGCGACCCCCGCACAUACACACACAUACAGCAAUAGAAGAAUAGACAAUAACAAUCCUUAUUUUCGAUGGUCUUAGGCGACCCCUGGCAAAUCGUCAAUCGACCCCCAAGGGGGUCGCCACCCACAGGUUGAGAACCCCUGGAUUAUAUCAUGGUGCAAUUGCUAUAAAAUGAUUUUGAUCUAGAUUUUCUUUCUUUUUGUUUUUAAGUUAUAAUUAGCCACAACUGAAUUAAUUGAGACCACUUAAUUAUGCCAGUCACUCCCCCAUUACUACUAUCAACUAAUAGAAAUUAAGCAAGGAAGGUGAUUCAAAUAUAUGCCAAGUCACCCUGUCAGAUGAAACAAGAGAAUCACCUAACAACACCAGUAUGGGAAUUUUGUGGGACGCAGCUGAGAAGCACCGAAACCUCCCAGAUACCCUCUCUCCCCACUGGUCCACAAAAGAGAUUGGACCAUAGCACAUUGAGAAUGCUAUAUAUAAAACCUAUGAACCAGAGAGAAACACUUAUACAACAUGAUGAAGGAAUAAUAUGAAUGAAAGAUGCACUAUAAAAAAAAAAUGUCACCAUAACUACCAUGUUUACUCUAAAAGAAUGACAAUUAAAACUUAAAAUUUGUUUCCAUUUCUAGGAAUUAUAAAGUUUAUUCAUAUUUCACCUGCUGGAUAGCAGCUUCAUAUUCUUGUCUGAUUUCUCCAUGACAGGAAAUAUGUCGUCUUUCCUCUGAAACAAAAUGGGAGCUUUUCAAUAAUUUUGUUCAGCUCUGUAACAAAUGGGAGCUUUUCAAUAUUUUUUUUAUCAUUACUCAAGGUUAAAGCCAUUGUCUUUGCAUGAAUCUACCUUUAGUCUGGUCUGUUUCAUUCUAAAGGUGGUUAGAAUCACAGUAAUGAUAUUUUUCUGACCAUUGUCGAAAAAAAAAAAACGCUGGCUAAGACUGUACAUCUAUUUAAAGGGCUUGCAAAACUUUUUCUGCAGGGAACAGUUCCAGGAAAAAGAAGGAGAGGCAGAUAAAAGAUGCAAUGGGGGACAACAUUAUGAACUGUACAGCCCUGUCUAUGGAAAAGCUGCUUAUUCUGGCAAAAGAAAGUAAUGGAGAGAAUUGACCAACAGUUCAUGGAUGCCCUAAAAAGACUGAAGGAUUACUGAAGACAUGCCUACCCCCAAGACCCAGAAUGUGGAACACUCAGGUUGAAAAUGUGGAACUUUGGGCCCCAAUGUGGAACAUACACGCGGGUGUCUGUGUCAUUUUUGAAGAGUCACAUUGUGCAGUAGCAAUCACCGGAGCAAUCUAAAGCAUAUUUAAUUAUAAAUAGAACACAGCAUUGCAAAAAGAAAAUUGGACAAGAUUUUGUAAUAGAGCAAAAACAUGUUGAGAGACUAUUAUGGCGGUUGUGAAAUGGGGGAGGGAAGAAGAGUGAAUGAUGAAUGUUUACAUAUUUUACAAAGUGAAAAUGAACCUCCUGCAAAGCUAAAUUUACCUUUUUU